AUUGAACGCUGGCGGCAUGCCUUACACAUGCAAGUCGAACGGUAACGGGUCCUUCGGGAUGCCGACGAGUGGCGAACGGGUGAGUAAUAUAUCGGAACGUGCCCAGUAGUGGGGGAUAACUGCUCGAAAGAGCAGCUAAUACCGCAUACGACCUGAGGGUGAAAGGGGGGGAUCGCAAGACCUCUCGCUAUUGGAGCGGCCGAUAUCAGAUUAGCUAGUUGGUGGGGUAAAGGCCUACCAAGGCAACGAUCUGUAGUUGGUCUGAGAGGACGACCAGCCACACUGGGACUGAGACACGGCCCAGACUCCUACGGGAGGCAGCAGUGGGGAAUUUUGGACAAUGGGCGCAAGCCUGAUCCAGCAAUGCCGCGUGCAGGAGGAAGGCCUUCGGGUUGUAAACUGCUUUUGUCAGGGAAGAAAUCUUCUGGGCUAAUACCCCGGGAGGAUGACGGUACCUGAAGAAUAUGCACCGGCUAACUACGUGCCAGCCGCCGCUGUAA
rnacentral:rRNA from 1 species